UUUGAGUGGGACCAAGAAGAACAUACAAAGCUGACAUGUUCUCCCGAAGUUGAUUUCCAAUGGGGAUGAAUAUUCCAGUUGGCUUUUGAGUGGAUACUUGCAGUGAGAGCAUUGACACUGGAAACACUAGUUCCCAUUUUAAUUACUUAAAACACUAUGAUGAAAAGAAAUACCUGUGAUUUGCUUUCUCGGAGCAAAAGUGCCUCUGAGGAAACACUACAUUCCAGUAAUGAAGAGGAAGACCCUUUCCGCGGAAUGGAACCCUAUCUUGUCCGGAGACUUUCAUGUCGCAAUAUUCAGCUUCCCCCUCUCGCCUUCAGACAGUUGGAACAAGCUGACUUGAAAAGUGAAUCAGAGAACAUUCAACGACCAACCAGCCUCCCCCUGAAGAUUCUGCCGCUGAUUGCUAUCACUUCUGCAGAAUCCAGCGGGUGAGUGCCCUCAGAUGUCAUUUCCCCAUUUUAUAUUUUAGAUGGUGAUUGUUAUCUGUGGUCUUUUGAGUUUUUGUGGCUCAUUGCUUGAUUUGAGUGGGAGAACAAUGGGGUUUCUAGAGUCAAA
rnacentral:sRNA from 1 species